GGCGUGCUUAACACAUGCAAGUCGAACGAGGCAGCGGCCUUCGGGCCGUUGUCGAGUGGCGAACGGGUGAGUAACACGUGAGGAACCUGCCCCGGAGACCGGGACAACCAGGGGAAACCCUGGCUAAUACCGGAUGCCCUCGGAUGGUCGCAUGGCCAACCGAGGAAACGCUCCGGUGCUCCGGGAGGGCCUCGCGGCCUAUCAGCUUGUUGGUGGGGUAACGGCCCACCAAGGCAUCGACGGGUAGCUGGUCUGAGAGGACGAUCAGCCACACUGGGACUGAGACACGGCCCAGACUCCUACGGGAGGCAGCAGUGGGGAAUAUUGCGCAAUGGGCGAAAGCCUGACGCAGCAACGCCGCGUGGGGGAUGAAGGCCUUCGGGUUGUAAACCCCUUUCAGCAGGGACGAAAAUGACGGUACCUGCAGAAGAAGCCCCGGCCAACUACGUGCCAGCAGCCGCGGUAACACGUAGGGGGCGAGCGUUGUCCGGAUUUAUUGGGCGUAAAGAGCUCGUAGGCGGUUGCGUAAGUCGGAUGUGAAAACUCAGGGCUCAACCCGGAGACGCCAUCCGAUACUUGCGCUGACUAGAGUC
rnacentral:rRNA from 1 species